AGAACCCUCUGAGGAAGGGAGGGGUUGUGGGUUCGAGGCGCCCCCAUGGGCCCCUCCUGGGAGCUCCUCUGAGCGUGGGUGGGAGUCCCACCAGAGGGAGGCGAAAUUGGUAACAGCGUGAGGGACGCUGGCUCUGAGCUCUGGCCCUCCUUCUGACGUGCUUUUCCCGGGGAAAAUCAUCCUCUCCUGUUUAUUUCUGCUUAAACGACUGGUGCUUAUUAGGCUUGAUCACAGCAGUUGGAUUUCCGAGACAAACCGAAUUUGAAGCUAUAAAAGAAACAGAGAGGGAGGUUUAUUUGGGCCAGAUCCUGCAGGGGCCUGAGUGCUAUGAUGAGGCACUUGGAAUCAAGGCACUGAGCACUGGGGAGCCAUGGACAGAAGCCAGCUCGGCGCAGAGGCCGUCUCUUGACAAUGGAGCCACUUGGUUUACACACCCAGCCCUCAGCCCUUGUUUAUGGAGCCCCUGUCACGUGAUGCUGCGGAACCAGGACCACGAGAUGCAGCAUGCCCAAGACACGGGAGACAGACUUUCCAAGCAGGAUGGGCCCUUACCACACCUGCUUGGCACCCUCCCCAUGUACACCAGUGUCCUACAGAAGCCCGCCAGCUGGACUAGACUCCUUCUGGUGCUGGGGCCUCUACUCUUAGUUGGUCUCUCUUGUUUUGGGACCACUUGGGUGAAGCUCUUUGCCCGUAGCUUCCAGCCCUACUGACCAGGGGUUCGAAGAUGAACACAAGAGCCAUGAUCUUCCAGAGUCUUCUCUGCUCUUGUGGAAAUACCCAAGUUCCUCUGAAUAAAAAACGCGAGGGUUUCA
rnacentral:lncRNA from 1 species